UUGAACACAAUGACAGGAAGACCUGGCACAUGCUUGGUCUCCACAGCUGAAUAUAAGGGGCUGUGCACUCGGAACGUAACUCCAAAACAGAGCCAUCACCUGCGUCAGGCAAAUAGGACACCAGCUGAAGUUCCUUCACCCCAUCCACAGAUACCAUAGAGUUGACCUUGUGUGACUGGACUGGCUGCAGCAGAGAAGACUUUGUGGGACUGGACCCAGUUGCUGGUGCAGCUGACUUUCUGAGAACAGAAUGGGAAGCCGCAAGUCAGAGCAGGACAUAGUGGUACAAGAUUCGCUGACAACUACCAGAGAGCAACCACCCCAUGAUGCCUACUUGACCACCACUGAAUUCAUGAAUGAAGUUUCAGCACAUGGAUUCUGAGCUAGAGGGAGCUUUGCAGGAACUGACUGAAACCAUUCUUAACAGCUAAUACUUCUAAUCUGUUUAUACUCGACUACUUUAUUCCUUGAACAAAUGCCAUUGCAAGUGUAGUGUUUAAAAGAGGCAACCAGCCUUUUUUGAGACAUCUAUUUCUUCUUAAUACUGGAGAAGUUCAUCGAUGAACUACUGUGAUCGCUAAGGCAGAAGUUGGCGGAGACAGCAUUUAGGGCCACUGUAUCAACAAUGGAGUACAAAAGUUAAUUAUUCAGUCCUACUAAACCAUGAAUAGAGUGGUCUGAAGACUGACCUAUACUCUUCCUUACAGCCACCUGGAAUUGCCCAAGGUUCUUCAGCCUCCAACGGCAGACCAUCAAAAGAGGAUUAGCGUUCAGUUGCCUAACACCUGUGUGGCAUUGUCUGGACACCUGGCCUCCUCCCCAAAGGGCAGACGACAACCCCUGAGAAUCAUUAUGCAUCAACCAUCAUGGAAGCUGAGCUGCACUCAUCCUGGUGAUCUCCUGAGGACUCAGAAGUAAAUGUGUCCUGAUGUUGCAGGGAAGGAAUAGGAAGAAAAAGAUUCUCUAUUCUCUCUCUCUCUCACACACACACAGAUCCAUGCAGCCCAGGGCACAAUAUCGCCCACACUGACUAAACAGCUAUACUUUGGAUUUCACACCUGUAUUGAAAUGUAAAGUUCAACAUUUCCUUCUCCUGCCCAUUCCCCAUUACAGUAAAUACAAAAUUUAAAAAACUAAAUACAAACAUGUCUGGUCAAAUAUUCUGACUUUUUAUUUGUACAAGUAAAAUAAGAUGCUGCUGUGUACUUUAGGGAUUAAAUAGACUUUUACACUGUAAUUAGAGUGUAAGUGACAAAUAGUUUAAUAGCCACAUUUAUAAAUUAACAAAAUACUUCAUGAUAUGACAUUGUACCCAGCCAGUUAUUAGUCACUUCUAAUAUUGAAGUAA